AUUGAACGCUGGCGGCAGGCCUAACACAUGCUAGUCUAGCGGAUGAGGGAAGCUUGCUUCCCGAUUUAGCGGCGGACGGGUGAGUAAUGCCUAGGAAUCUGCCUAUUAGUGGGGGAUAACGUUCCGAAAGGAACGCUAAUACCGCAUACGUCCUACGGGAGAAAGUGGGGGAUCUUCGGACCUCACGCUAAUAGAUGAGCCUAGGUCGGAUUAGCUAGUUGGUGGGGUAACGGCUCACCAAGGCGACGAUCCGUAGCUGGUCUGAGAGGAUGAACAGCCACACUGGGACUGAGACACGAUCCAGAGUCCGACAGGAGGCAGCAGUGGGGAAUAUUGGACAAUGGGCGAAAGCCUGAUCCGGCCAUGCCGCGGGUGUGAAGAAGGGCUUCGGAUUGUAUAGCACUUUAAGUUGGGAGGAAGGGUUGUAAGCUAAUAUCUUGCAGCUUUGACGUUACCAACAGAAUAAGCACCGGCUAACUCUGUGCCAGCAGCCGCCGCAGUA
rnacentral:rRNA from 1 species